AGACUCUAGAUACAAAUAGAUAUUGCAUAGCAGUUAGAAGGCUUCACAAAUCUUUUAAAUACAAUUUCACAGUUUUUAACUACUACACCGAAUUCAUCUUUCUUUUGCUAAAAAUAUGAAUUACAAUUGAAAUAUAUAAUGAUUCAAAUCAUGAAAGGUAAGAAGCAUGGACUAAUCGUGCGCUGGCUAAAGCACCAUCUUCCUCUUCCCUCUCUGGGUAAGAGGAAGGCCACCGUCCCAGCCAGCAGUGAUUAAAGUCACCACAAACCAACACCAACGCGACUGGUUUUCACAUUUCUAAAGGACUGUUCUGGAUCUUGAGAAGCAUCCAGGGACCUUUCCGAUCUUGAAUUUGGAGAUGGAGUGGAUCUUCAAACAAACCAACACAUUAAGAAACAAACGAAAAAAGAGAUGAACUUAACAAACAGCAGUGUGUUUCAUGUAUGUCUCUCUCACCCAAACUGGAUUAUUCACCAGCAUCCUCAGAUGCCUCGUCUCUGUGCCGUGAGGCAUGGCCCAGCCACCUACUUGCCUUUCCCUGGGAUAAAACCUACAACCAUCCAGCCCCCACCUCGGCUGUCCUUCCUCUCGUCUUCUCCAAGGCCCAAUGAGCACAGUUUGUAUCAUUCUUGAUCUCUUCAGGGCAGGGACCAUUCUCUCACUCACCCUUGCACUGUCCUACAAAUUUGCCCCACUCAAAAGAGGCCCUUGGCUAUUAUUUAUCCUUUCGAUAAACAUUACCCACUAAGGCAAGUGCCAGAUUGACAAGGUCCCAGCCCUCACCAAGUAGAAUCAGGCUUCUAGGCCCCUCAUGGACUCCCACUGGAUUGUUCCCUGCCUUGCUCGGGGGCUGACCAAAGCCAGACUUUCAGACUACAUUUCUAAAGCCCUGUGUAUGGUGAUGGGAGAUCAUCAGCAGAGCUCAUCAAAAACUAUAUGUACCACAGGCUGGAAAUAUCAGCAGGCUCAAAGGUGAAUACUAAUUUGCGUCAUUCCGUCAAAUCAGUAACCUCUUCUGAUCUGCCCUGUGUCGUAAUGACGUCAUUAACCCCUGUAUGCAUGGUUUCUCCCACCAAGAUGACAACGCUCAGAGACCAUGAUGCUCCUUACAGGAUCAGCUCAAAUGGAUGGUCACCAGCAAGCAGCCCCUGGGGACACUGCAGACCUGAUGAUCCAUCUUAAGGACUCGCUCUGACAAGGGUAGUGCUUGCUCAUUUCAGAACACCGGGAAAAUGCAGAGCGAAGUAAAAAGCAGACACAUCCUCAUAGUUCUGAACGUGUGUGCACACGUAUUCACAGAGACACACGCUGAGCUGUCCGUGUGCAUUAAGGAUAUGUUCCAGAUCCUCGAGAGGUCACAGGUGAGACAAUUCAAUGGCUCGUAAUCUGGGAUGCCCUCAUUCCACAUUCAAGGAGGAAUGUUUAUAUAGUCCAGCCUAGAGAAGUGGAAUGAAAACCGCAUCUUCCCUAACUAGCCCUGGGAUCAGGAACCCCGUGGCUGAGGUAGAGCUGGACCUUGUGAGGAUGCAGCCCUCUCGGGACAGGUGCGCCCACCUUCCUUCACAUCCCCAGAUGAGCCUCAGGCCAGGAUCAGUGCACAUACGCCCACCUACGAACUACCACGGGUCAUCAGGGAGACCUUUUUAACUUUUGAACCAAUUCUAUUUUACAAUCUAAACAACCACAAGUCCCAUUAUUAUUUUUUAAUAGAAAACUUUUCUAAAAAAAUAAAAAACUUGUGUUAAUAAUAUCACUGUAAUGCCUCAAUUGCCAGCUGGUCGCUAAUAUAAAGACAUACAUGUGUGAGAAAAACCCAACUUCUCCAGAAAACAAAGCCAAGCAAGUCCCCGAGGGCCCUUCUGGGAGCAGCCCUUGCCUGGGACCCGCACAGAUCAGGCUCUAAGCAGCUGUUGCCCCCUAAGGCUGGUUUCACCAGUGGCUAGAACCUAAAAGCACAGAGACUGAUGUCUCUCUCGCCCCACUUGCCGUGGAUGGACAGCCUGCAGCUCCCCAACUGACCUUU